rnacentral:rRNA from 1 species
AUGGACGUGGUGACCGGUGCCAUGGGAAGCCUGCUCCCUAAGCUCGGCGAGCUGCUGGUGGGGGAGUACAAGCUGCAGAAAGGUGUCAAGAAAGAUGUCGAGUCCCUCCAGAGGGAGAUGAAGAGCAUGAACGCUGCCCUUGUCAAGGUGGCGGAGGUGCCAAGGGACCAGCUGGACAACCAGGUCAUCAUCUGGGCUGACGAGCUCAGGGAGCUGUCUUAUGACAUGGAGGAUGUUGUUGACAACUUCUUGGUGUGCGUCGAGGGAUCUGAAUCUGAUGCUUUCACCGACUCAAACAAGCUCAAAGGGCUAAUGGCAAAGAUGGCCAACUUAUUCACCAAAGGCAAGACUCGGCAUCAGAUCGCCGAUGCCAUGAAGGACAUCAAUAACCGCGCCCAAGAGGUGGCUGAACGGCGUAACAGGUACAGGGUUGAUGAUGUUGUUGCCAAUGCAGCUGGCAAACACAAGGUUGACCCUCGUCUGCUGGCUCUAUACAAGACUCAGAAGGAGCUCGUUGGCAUUGAAGACGCACGGAACGAGCUGACCAAGAUGCUCACAGAUGGUGUUGGUGAUGGUGAUGUUCCCAAGCAACAGCACAUGAUGAAGAUGGUCUCAAUUGUUGUUGGACCCGGAGGACUUGGCAAGACUACACUUGCUAAGGCAGUGUAUGAUAGGCUUCAAACACAAUUUGAAUGCACAGCUUUUGUUCCAGUGGGUCGAAACCCUGAAGUGAAGAAAGUUUUAAGGGAUAUCCUUUUGGAGGUUGGCAAGAAGCAGGAGCAUAUUGGUGAUGUAGCCAUAUUGGAUGAAAGACAACUCAUCAACAUACUCCAACGACUACUUGAGAAUGCGAGAUACUUCAUUGUCAUUGAUGACAUAUGGGAUUUAGAAGCAUGGAACAUUAUCAAAUGUGCUUUCAUUGAUAACAAUCAUGGGAGCCGAGUAAUCACAACUACUCGUAUUCUCGAUGUUGCGACAAAUACCGGUGAUAUUUACAAGCUAAAACCCCUUUCUCAACAUUUGUCUGAAGAAUUAUUCUAUACAAGAUUGUUUGGUGGUAAAGAUAAAUGCCCUUUUGGUCAACCAGCUGAAGUAUCAGACAAAAUUUUACAGAAGUGCGGAUGUGUGCCAUUAGCUAUAAUUACAGUAGCUAGUUUGUUGAGUGGUAAACCUAUGGAGGAUUGGUCUAAAGUAUUCGACUCAAUUGGUUUUGGAUCUGGAGAUAGCAACACAGAUGUAGAGAACACGAGGAAGAUACUAUUAUUUAGUUAUUAUGAUCUACCUUAUUAUCUGAGGUCGUGUCUACUGCAUCUGAGCGUAUACCCAGAAGACUAUUUGAUCAUGAAACACAAACUGAUAUGGCAGUGGGUCGCCGAAGGUUUCGUCAGCGAGGAACCAGGGGGUAAAGAUAUUGAAUGUUUGGCGCUUAACUUUUUUAUGGUGGGUGUGUGGCACUUCAUGUGA